GUAGUUUUCAAGAGAUGUGGCUUCUUUAUCACGGUGUCCUCUAUGCUGUUUAAGUGCUCUCAUUUUUGGUGCACAAUCAAAAGCCCCCAUACCUACAAAUGCAAAUUUCCUUCCUCCAAUCUUGUAAAUGUCCCUUCCUUCAUUGCCUUGACUGGUUUCAACUAAAGCACUGGCUCCACCUGAAGCAAAGUUUACCCCAUCUGUAAAUUGAUGAAUACCCGGCUGGAGAUAUGGUGGAAUUAAUGGCAACUUCAAAUACUCAGCAAUAAAAUCAGAAAUGAG
rnacentral:misc_RNA from 1 species